UGCCAGCCGCCGCGGUAAUACCGGCAGCACGAGUGAUGGCCGAUUUUAUUGGGCCUAAAGCGUCCGUAGCUUGCUGUGUAAGUCCAUUGGGAAAUCGACGCGCUCAACGCGUCGGCGUCCGGUGGAAACUACACGGCUUGGGGCCGAGAGACUUGACGGGUACGUCCGGGGUAGGAGUGAAAUCCCGUAAUCCUGGACGGACCACCAAUGGGGAAACCACGUCAAGAGACCGGACCCGACAGUGAGGGACGAAAGCCAGGGUCUCGAACCGGAUUAGAAACCCCAGUAGUCC
rnacentral:rRNA from 1 species